UGGGGAAUAUUGGACAAUGGGCGAAAGCCUGAUCCAGCCAUGCCGCGUGUGUGAAGAAGGUCUUCGGAUUGUAAAGCACUUUAAGUUGGGAGGAAGGGCAGUAAGCGAAUACCUUGCUGUUUUGACGUUACCGACAGAAUAAGCACCGGCUAACUCUGUGCCAGCAGCCGCGGUAAUACAGAGGGUGCGAGCGUUAAUCGGAUUUACUGGGCGUAAAGCGUGCGUAGGCGGCUAAUUGAGUCGGAUGUGAAAUCCCCGAGCUUAACUUGGGAAUUGCAUUCGAGACUGGUUAGCUAGAGUGUGGGAGAGGAUGGUAGAAUUCCAGGUGUAGCGGUGAAAUGCGUAGAGAUCUGGAGGAAUACCGAUGGCGAAGGCAGCCAUCUGGCCUAACACUGACGCUGAGGUACGAAAGCAUGGGGAGCAAACAGG
rnacentral:rRNA from 1 species